UGGGGGAUAUUGCACAAUGGGCGAAAGCCUGAUGCAGCGACGCCGCGUGGGGGAUGAAGGCCUUCGGGUUGUAAACUUCUUUUGCUCUGAACAAGGCAUGCUAAUGGGUGUGUUGAGUGUAGGGGUUGAUUAGCGCCGGCUAACUACGUGCCAGCAGCCGCGGUAAUACGUAGGGCGCGAGCGUUGUCCGGAAUUAUUGGGCGUAAAGGGCUUGUAGGUGGCUGGUUGCGUCUGUCGUGAAAGCUCAUGGCUUAACUGUGGGUUUGCGGUGGGUACGGGCUGGCUUGAGUGCAGUAGGGGAGGCUGGAGUUCCUGGUGUAGCGGUGGAAUGCGCAGAUAUCAGGAGGAAUACCGGUGGCGAAGGCGGGUCUCUGGGCUGUUACUGACACUGAGGAGCGAAAGCAUGGGGAGCGAACAGG
rnacentral:rRNA from 1 species